AGAGUUUGAUCAUGGCUCAGAUUGAACGCUGGCGGCAGGCUUAACACAUGCAAGUCGAACGGUAACGGGUUGGAAGCUUGCUUUCAAUGCUGACGAGUGGCGGACGGGUGAGUAAGGCUUGGGGAUCUGGCUUUUGGAGGGGGAUAACCAUUGGAAACGAUGGCUAAUACCGCAUAGUAUCGAGAGAUGAAAGGGGUGGGAAACCACUUGCCAAGGGAUGAACCCAAGUGAGAUUAGGUAGUUGGUGGGGUAAAGGCCUACCAAGCCGACGAUCUCUAGCUGGUCUGAGAGGAUGGCCAGCCACACUGGGACUGAGACACGGCCCAGACUCCUACGGGAGGUAGCAGUGGGGAAUAUUGCGCAAUGGGGGGAACCCUGACGCAGCCAUGCCGCGUGAAUGAAGAAGGCCUUCGGGUUGUAAAGUUCUUUCGGUGGUGAGGAAGGUUAGGAUGUUAAUAGCAUACUGAUUUGACGUUAGCCACAGAAGAAGCACCGG
rnacentral:rRNA from 1 species